UGAGACUCUGUGCGCGUGCAUAUCAAUAAGCGGAGGAAAAGAAACUAACAAGGAUUCCCUUAGUAACGGCGAGUGAAGCGGGAAGAGCUCAAAUUUGAAAUCUUCAAGGUUCUACCUUGACGAAUUGUAGUUUAUAGAAGUGUUUUCUGUUAGUAGGAGUGGCAAAAGUUCUUUGGAAUAGGACAUCAUAGAGGGUGAGAAUCCCGUAUUUGGUCAUUCCUUCCUAGCGUUGUGAUACACUUUCAACGAGUCGGAUUGUUUGGGAAUGCAGUCCAAAAUGGGUGGUAAAUUUCAUCUAAAGCUAAAUAUUGGCGAGAGACCGAUAGCGAACAAGUACCGUGAGGGAAAGAUGAAAAGAACUUUGAAAAGAGAGUUAAACAGUACGUGAAAUUGUCAAAAUAGGGAAGCGUUUGACACCAGUGUUGUUUUUCGAAAAUCAAUUCAUGAAUGGUUUGAUUUUAAGUAGUAUUGACCUUCAUCAGCUUGCUGCUUUCUUUUCAGGAAUUAUUGAAUGCACUUUUCAGUUAACAAAUCAACAUCAAUUUCUUUUGUUGUAAAAGGGUAAGAGGAAGGUGGCUUACGCUUCGGCGUAAGUGUUUAUAGCCUUUUACCUCUGCAAUCGGAGAGAUUGAGGACAGCAGCGUAGACUCUUCGGGGUUAGAUACACUUGUGCUAAGCUAUAGCCUUGUAUAGACAACUUGUUGACUAUGCUCAGUCAUGUAGCUUACUCGCUUGUGCUAUUUACCUACGCUUAGGAUGUUGAACUCUAUCACACACAG
rnacentral:rRNA from 1 species